rnacentral:rRNA from 1 species
GAUGAACGCUGGCGGCGUGCUUAACACAUGCAAGUCGAACGGGAAACCUUUUAUUGAAGCUUCGGCAGAUUUAGCUGGUUUCUAGUGGCGGACGGGUGAGUAACGCGUGGGUAACCUGCCUUAUACAGGGGGAUAACAACCAGAAAUGGUUGCUAAUACCGCAUAAGCGCACGGGACCGCAUGGUCCGGUGUGAAAAACUCCGGUGGUAUAAGAUGGACCCGCGUUGGAUUAGCUAGUUGGCAGGGUAACGGCCUACCAAGGCGACGAUCCAUAGCCGGCCUGAGAGGGUGAACGGCCACAUUGGGACUGAGACACGGCCCAGACUCCUACGGGAGGCAGCAGUGGGGAAUAUUGCACAAUGGGGGAAACCCUGAUGCAGCGACGCCGCGUGAAGGAAGAAGUAUCUCGGUAUGUAAACUUCUAUCAGCAGGGAAGAUAGUGACGGUACCUGACUAAGAAGCCCCGGCUAACUACGUG